rnacentral:tRNA from 1 species
GGGGUUAUAGUUUAAUGGUAGAACAAUUGCUUUGCAAGCAAUUAGUUUAGGUUCAAGUCGAUAACUCCA